rnacentral:tRNA from 1 species
GCAGCGGGGUGUAUUUGGUUAACGCGUCGGCGUGCAUUGCCGAAGUUGCUGGUUCAAAUCCAGCCGGUACC